GUGGCCACCGCGCUCAGGCUCCGCCCCCCGGUUUUGGGGCGAAUCGCGGCAAUUUCGGGUCCGUCAAUGGCGGCGGCGCCGUUCAAAGGGUUUAUUGGGGUCACGGGGGCAACCGGGCGGGGGGUCGCUGUGUCCCCAAUGUCCCCCCGCGGCCAUUGGUCAGUGUCCGGUCCCCAGUGUCCCCAAAGGGGUCGGAGAUCGCGGGUGUCCCCCGGGGAAGGGCUCCCAGUGUCCCCAAUGUCCCCUGGGGGGAUUCAGAGAUCAGGGGGUGUCUCCCAUGGGAGGGGUCCCGUUGUCCCCAAUUGUUCCCAAUUGUCCCCAAAGGGGUCGGAGAUCACGAGUGUCCCCCGGGGAAGGGCUCCCAGUGUCCCCUGGGGGGAUUC